UAAAAAUUGGAUCAUAUUUCCUGUGCAGAAGGUUGCACAAGCGGUACUUAGUGUAAGCAGUCACCCAAGGCUCAGAAACUGAGAUAAUUGCAUGAUUUUUGCAGGUACUCUUCAGCUACAUGCAGCAGGGAAGAGCCAUUUCACCUGCUGCAUGUACACUGGUAGCUACCCAGUGGCUCAAAUAAGAGAGACCAAUUUUAUGCUCGGCACUUGUCUGUGGUUGGAAUGGUGGUAGCAGGUCAACAACCACAACAGGCCAUGGGACCCUCUGAUGAGGAGAGGAUUUUAAGAUCUAAAGCUGAAAUUUAGGUGUGUUUGUGAAGGGGAAUGCAAUCAAAGGAUACAUUUUUUUCAGUGCAUCAGAGGAAGGGGCUCUAAACACCAUCUCCAGAGGAAUUCAGCUGCAUAUCAGUGAAGUAAAGAAUGACCAGGCAAUACUCUUUGAAAAUUGGAGACCAUUUGCAGCUGCUCUCUGCUGAGGAAAGUGAAUAAUAGGGUGCCCUCAAGGAAUUUCAAAGAGACUGGCAGGAUGAGAUGACAGUUUUUUCUUACAGCCCUGUUAAUACUUUUCACUAACAAGGAAAGGGAAAGAGAAUAAUUCUCUGCAAUAAUAUUGACUCCUUUUGUGAUCUAGGCACCACCAAGUGAUUGGGAGCAAGAGCAGCUCAGAUAUGAUGGAGACAAUGGGGCUGAACCUCUCCUAGAAAGUCACAGGUCACUGUGAGCUGCAAAAUCUUCAAGGACAGCCUUUUCCCAUGUCCUCUGUAGGCAAAACCAGGAGGUAACAAGUACCUGUGCUCCAGCUGACUCAUUCUCAGUCUGGUGUAAUAAUGUAGUCCCAUCUACAUCGCCAUGGUUCCCUUUCUCCCCUCUGCAUGUAAAAUAAACAUGAUGGGGCCAGCUCUUGCAUUUUACUACCUUGACUUGUGGGAACAUCCUUUCACAUGCUUGGAUUAGGUCUAGGAUCACAUUGGUCUAGUUUCUUUCAGGAUCAUAAAGUCUGUGAACUUCCAAUGCUGGGCAUGGUAUGGAGGCAUUUGCUUCCCUGGUGGUUUUCCAAAGUGCCUGGGUUUUCCUUCCAUCUGAAGCUAUGCUGCUUUUGGUGAGACUAUGCUCUGUGUGAGAAGGUAUGUGGAGUGCAGA